GAUGAACGCUGGCGGCGUGCCUAAUACAUGCAAGUCGAGCGAACAGACGAGGAGCUUGCUCCUCUGACGUUAGCGGCGGACGGGUGAGUAACACGUGGAUAACCUACCUAUAAGACUGGGAUAACUUCGGGAAACCGGAGCUAAUACCGGAUAAUAUAUUGAACCGCAUGGUUCAAUAGUGAAGGACGGUUUUGCUGUCACUUAUAGAUGGAUCCGCGCCGCAUUAGCUAGUUGGUAAGGUAACGGCUUACCAAGGCAACGAUGCGUAGCCGACCUGAGAGGGUGAUCGGCCACACUGGAACUGAGACACGGUCCAGACUCCUACGGGAGGCAGCAGUAGGGAAUCUUCCGCAAUGGGCGAAAGCCUGACGGAGCAACGCCGCGUGAGUGAUGAAGGUCUUCGGAUCGUAAAACUCUGUUAUUAGGGAAGAACAAAUGUGUAAGUAACUAUGCACGUCUUGACGGUACCUAAUCAGAAAGCCACGGCUAACUACGU
rnacentral:rRNA from 1 species